CCAACAUCAAGCCACCUACAAUAUAGGAGUGAGCUCAUCCUAGACUAUCCAGCCCCAGCCAAAGCAUCUGCUUACUGCAGAGAACAGCUCAGCCAACGCUGACCAGAAAACUGCUCAACAUACCCACGGGAUCACGCUGUCUGUUGCAAGAGAAUGAGACCGUCUAUGAAAAAUUGCUUAAAACAGUGCCUAGCAGACAAUGAGGAUACUGAGGCCCAGACAGGGGAAGAGACAUUCCCCAAAUCUGGUAGCCAAUGAAUGGCAG